AUUGAACGCUGGCGGCAGGCCUAACACAUGCAAGUCGAACGAGUGGCGGACGGGUGAGUAAUGUCUGGGAAACUGCCUGAUGGAGGGGGAUAACUACUGGAAACGGUAGCUAAUACCGCAUACCAUCGGAUGUGCCCAGAGGGGAUUAGCUAGUAGGUGGGGUAAAGGCUCACCUAGGCGACGAUCCCUAGCGGGUCUGAGAGGAGGACCAGCAAAACUGGAACUGAGACACGGCCCAGACUCCUACGGGAGGCAGCAGUGGGGAAUAUGGCACAAGGGGCGCAAGCCGGCUGCAGCCAUGCCGCGGGUAUGAAGAAGGCCUUCGGGUUGUAAAGUACGUUCAGCGGGGAGGCGUUACCCGCAGAAGAAGCACCGGCUAACUCCGUGCCAGCAGCCGCGGUAAUUC
rnacentral:rRNA from 1 species